rnacentral:rRNA from 1 species
CCCUUAGAUGUUCUGGGCUGCACGCGUGCUACAAUGGCGUUUCCAGCAAGUCUGCGAACCCGAGAGGGCCAGCGGAUCUUCGAAUUGGCGUCGUGAUCGGGACAGUCGAUUGCAAUUAUUUGACUCAAACGAGGAAUUCCUUGUAAUCGCGAUUCAUCAUAUCGCGCUGAAUACGUCCCUGCCCUUUGUACACACCGCCCGCCGCUCCUACCGAUUGAGCGAUCCGGUAAAUGUUUUGGAUUGGUGCCGGGGCGGCUAGCUGCCGGUCGCUACGAAAUUUUGUGAACCUUAUCGCUUAGAGGAAGGAAAAGUCGUAACA